CUCGUUCUAUUUAUAUUUAUAAGUCGUAAUGACUCUCGGCAACGGAUAUCUCGGCUCUUGCAUCGAUGAAGAACGUAGCGAAAUGCGAUACUUGGUGUGAAUUGCAGAAUCCCGUGAACCAUCGAGUCUUUGAACGCAAGUUGCGCCCAAAGUCGUUAGGCUGA
rnacentral:rRNA from 1 species